rnacentral:rRNA from 1 species
UACGUAGGGGGCGAGCGUUAAUCGGAAUUACUGGGCGUAAAGCGUGCGCAGGCGGUUAUGUAAGACAGUUGUGAAAUCCCCGGGCUCAACCUGGGAACUGCAUCUGUGACUGCAUAGCUAGAGUACGGUAGAGGGGGGUGGAAUUCCGCGUGUAGCAGUGAAAUGCGUAGAUAUGCGGAGGAACACCGAUGGCGAAGGCAAUCCCCUGGACCGGUACUGACGCUCAUGCACGAAAGCGUGGGGAGCAAACAGG